AUACGUAGGGGGCGAGCGUUGUCCGGAAUGAUUGGGCGUAAAGGGCGCGUAGGCGGCCCGGUAAGUCUGGAGUGAAAGUCCUGUUUUUAAGAUGGGAAUUGCUUUGGAUACUGUCGGGCUUGAGUGCAGGAGAGGUAAGUGGAAUUCCCAGUGUAGCGGUGAAAUGCGUAGAGAUUGGGAGGAACACCAGUGGCGAAGGCGACUUACUGGACUGUAACUGACGUUGAGGCGCGAAAGUGUGGGGAGCAAACAGGAUUAGAUACCCUGGUAGUCCACACCGUAAACGAUGAAUGCUAGGUGUAGGGGGUAUCGACCCCUUCUGUGCCGCAGUCAACACAAUAAGCAUUCCGCCUGGGGAGUACGGCCGCAAGGUUGAAACUCAAAUGAAUUGGCGGGG
rnacentral:rRNA from 1 species